rnacentral:rRNA from 1 species
AUACAGAGGGUGCGAGCGUUAAUCGGAAUUACUGGGCGUAAAGCGCGCGUAGGCGGCUUAUUAAGUCAGAUGUGAAAUCCCCGGGCUCAACCUGGGAACUGCAUCUGAUACUGGUAAGCUAGAGUUUUGGAGAGGGAAGUAGAAUUUCAGGUGUAGCGGUGAAAUGCAUAGAGAUCUGAAGGAAUACCAGUGGCGAAGGCGACUUCCUGGCCAAAAACUGACGCUGAGGUGCGAAAGCGUGGGUAGCAAACGGGAUUAGAUACCCGAGUAGUCC